CAGAACAGCACAAACAUGGCCGCACCGUGUUUGGCGCGGUGAUGCAUUGUGGGUGGGAAACACCAGAUCCCCGAUCGGUUUGCUGGCCAGAGUCGAGCCGCUCGUCAGGCCCCGGCUGCAUCUGUUGUUGUUGGAGUCUAGAGCCAGACUACAGCAGAAUUCCAACCCCCAAAUUCCUCCCGGGCUGACAAACGUCAACAAAGACCCCGAGAGACACCAAAGAGAGUGCAGUGUCAACAGACUGGCGAGGAGGAGGAAAGGGGCGGGGCUUAUAUGCAUCAGCCACCGGGAUUGGCUACCGGAUUCGACUCCUCUUCGCCAUUGGCCUGCCGCGCCGUCGCUCCAGGAUCCGUUCUCGCCGCUUCCCGCGCCACUCGGCGCGUGCACGCGCGAGGCGACCAGGCACGUACCCGCUGGGAGACUGUCUGGAGUCUGUCUGAAUUUGAUCAAAUUGGAGAUGGAGUUUUUAACAUCCGUUUGCAAAUUCACGAGGAACCCGCCUUGCUGGAAAAUGGGAUGUAUUUUAUGCGUUCGCCUCCUCAUAUUACGCCUCCGUCCACGAGCCGCCAGGCUGAGCCCCAAAAGAUAUUUUACAGAUAAAGGCUGUGAAAGUUUAUUCUUCUGCAGCCUGUCAGCAGACAGCUCUCCACGCACAGGAGAUCAGCAGUGUGGAGUUCAGGAGGAGUGCAUCACCCAGAAGGCAGCCUGCUCGGGUCAGAAAGGGAAGAGUACAGCUGAAGCAUGCACUGUCUUUGCAGGCCGGUCCCAGGCCUGAGUGAUGUAGAGUGAUUGGGAUUCCUCUGAGCGAGGAGAUUCCGUGUUUUCCUGCAGCCUGUCACGCCUUCACGUCUUCAACGCCGCCGUGUUUCCGCCCAAAUGGUCUGGCUGCCACUUCUGAACAACUCUAUCGCAGCCUGUCCCACAUCCGGACUGCAGAGAGAAUUUUAAGCUCAGGGCUGGUGGUGGACCAGGAGGAAGAUGUCAUGCUAAGGAUGGGUUUUUGGUGAUGAUGUUGCUGCUGUUGAUGCAGCAUCGAGCUCUCACUUUGUGCCUCUGUCAGUUAUGAUGCGUAACCACAAAGUGAGUGACAGGCUAAUCCCCGGGAGAGCAGGCGGCCUGAGGAUUGUCUUACACGUCAGCAGCACUAUGGAGUACUACAAAAGGUGACGCGCAGAAGGAGGAUUUGUGAAUGGACGCCGUGAUGUGUGCCAGCUCACAGAUCAGAGGGUGGUGGUGGUGGUGGGACCUCUGCAGAUGCACCCCGAGCCCCCUCUCCACCCGGCACUCCCUCCCUCCCUCCUUCCCUCCAGAUGAAUGGGGGUCUCGAUAUCAGCUCUGUCACCAUGCAGGGGUCGCACCAAAUCCUCCAGCUUCCUGUGCCUUUCAAACCCUGAAAGCAAGUCUCCCCUAUUUGAUGAUCCCAUAUGAUUUUUUUUGUUGUGCUUUUGUGGGCCUGGAAGCUCGCUGGCCCCUGUUUUCCAUCGCGGGGUCAGCCAAGAGCAUGGCAGCCGAAUUAGAGAAGAUUAGAAGCGGGCCUAAUUGUGUCUACACUGCACAAAGUCAAUCAGUCUUUCAGAGACAAUUAAUGUAGUUUAAAAAAACAAAAGAAAUACAAGAAAUUAAAGAUUUGGAGAGAGAUUAGCCGAGCAGCUGUUAUCCCAUUGUUUUACAGGAGGUGUGGUGCGUUGGAUGUGGGCAGAUCACAAGGCAUUUAUGUGUGUGUGUGUGUGUUAAUUUUGAUUAAAAACGAAUGCAAUCAUUUGAUCGCAUGGGUUUAUUUCUGCCACUUGUCAAGCUAUGGAUUUUUUUUCAAACCACGCUUAAUUAUUUUGGUCAAAUUUAGCGGAAAUAUUCGUAAUUUGUUUCAGUUUAUUCUUCUAAAAGCCAACGAUGUAAAAUUUAAAUUUUAGGCAACAUUUUGCACGGUGUGUCUCAAAGUAAUGCAUAUUGGUUUCUGCUGCAUCGCCUUUACUCCACUAUUUAUCCAUCACACAGCACCGCGCGUAGAUGAUGUCUAAAUCAUUUGUUUUGCCGUUGUGUGACAGUGUUUGCAGAUAAAUCCUCCGAGUCGCCGGGCAGCGGACUUUGGGGCCGUUGGAUCUUCUGGUUUCAGCCCUUUAUAGGUUUUAAUAACUCUUAAUCCGUCUGAUCGGUCUGGCGUAGAUAAGUCUCAUUUGAAUUGGGAUUGUUCUUAAGGAGCGGCUCGUAUUUCUCCACUGAAGUCUCAAACAGAGCUUAGCACAAACAACUGCACCACCCUGAGCGCAAUUAAGGCCUCAGCUAAAUUGGAUGAAGGCUAAUUGAAUGCGGCUGAGCUCCCGUCAGCAAACUCCUGAACGCGUCACUAAUAUGAUGAAAACGUUCGGCAGCAGCUUUUUGACCUUUUUAGUUGUGUAAAUGUGUGUUAAAAAUAAUGCGGCAGCAAAACUUUUUUGUUUGUCUCAUAAAAUUCAAACACUAAAGCAGACGUUUUGCGGUAUGUUGGAUGCAGAGGACACUUACGGCUGUUUAGGAAAUGUAAUGUUGAUAUCUGGUCUUGUUCAAGUGGGAAAUGUCGGGUUUUCAUUUGUUAUUGAUUUGUGUGUAAAUUCUAACUACGUGUAAUUGUGAAAGUUACUCACCCUUAAAACUCUCCAGGAGUGCUUUGUUUUAUUUAAAAAUCAAAAACUUUAAAUUAAACUUCAGGGCUCCUCAGAACGGAGGGUGACUUAUUUUGGCCUGACUACAAAAUGAAACCAAAGAGAAAUGAAAGUUAGAAUAAAAAUCCUAAAACAAUAAUCGGAUAUCUACGUAAAGGGUGAAAACGAAGACUCUUGCUCAAACCAUUAUGUGCUCGCGUGCUUCACUAUCAUUUCAUGCGUAGAGAGUUUGGCUUUCUAACUUUGAGCAUCAGGUAGUCCGGGUUAGUUUUCGACCCGCUAUACGGUGUCCGGUUUGUGCGCAUUCUCUCCCCCAGCUGGGCCGCAGGACUUUCCACGUCUUACUUGUGACAGCAAAGAAUGAACUACGCGUGGAGGCUAUUUCCGUGAGGUCAACGGGUUUACAUUCUCUGACAUACAGAAAGAAUCGGCUGCCAUGCAACAUGGGGGAGCCGUGGGGGGGCAAGGAGGAGAAGAAGAAGAAGAAGGAGGAGAGGAGCAGGUCAUUUAUGGAUGGACAUGUGCCGCAAAAUAGACCUAAAAGAAGAAACAAACACAUAUAAUGCAUAAAAACGAUUCCUCUCACUGACGCGGCCCGGUGGGGGCCCCCCUGAAGUUUUUGGCCCCCCGAUGUGAAGGUGCGAGCCCAGGAUGCUUUGCGAGUCUCAGAUCGUCUAAAUGCCUCGUGCACCUGUCUCGCGCUCCCGCGCGCGUUUAGGAGCCACGGUGAGAACAAGUGAGAGACGCACAGGUGGGAAGCACUUGCUGCAGGAUAAACAGAGUGAGUCCAAGCAGACAGGCCGAAACAUUGUUAAAUGUUAUUUAUUCCCAAAUAAAUAUCCUGCAAACCGGAGGCGGAAGGAAGUGUGCAAUCACACAUCUCCGGAAGAGGAAUUAUCCAAAUGUCGUUUGUCUCCAAACUAACUCUCAAAGUGGAUUAUUAAACCUGCAGCCAAUUUAUUUGGUUUUAUUCUCAUCCGGACUUUUGCGAAUGUAAAACAACACGCAGAUGUGAUCACGUCACUGGGUCAUAAAGGCGAUUUCAUCACGAAAACACAAACUUUUUCUUCUUCUUUAUCUCUCCCAUUUAUUUCCGUUUCCCAAAUAGGAGAAACAAUUCAUGUUAUGUCGCAGUGUCCCAGCUUGCAACUUUAAUUAUAGCGGAAGAAGGUCAGUCAGAAGCGGGUUUCCGACCCCUCUCCCUGUGUGGCAUCGCGCUGCGCGCCGCUUAACUGCCAAAAUAGCGCCGGACUGCCCUGAAAGCGCCGUGUGCGACAUGAGUCCCUUUCACCCCGCGUGCACCUGAGUUGUUUUUACCCCCCAGCAGCGGAUAUGCUGUGAAUUUGUCACUUAUCAGGGGCCAGGCUGUCAAGGGCCAUUUUAGGAGCAAUAACUUUCCCAGUUGGAUUUAGCCUGCCAACUUUGUGCGUCUCUCAGCAGCGAGAUGAAUGGGCUGCGUGCCUGUUGCUUCCCCAGAAAUGUCUCCUACGCCUACUAAUGGAGACUAAUUAAAACAUGACAAACAUCGACCUUUAGUGCAUUCUAAACAGGGCUGAAAGCAUGAUUUGGGUUAUGCAAAUGUGCUCUCUAUUCUGUGGCAAUAUUUAUGUGGGUGACAUAUUCCUCACAUGUGUCCGUUUGCUCCUUUAUGGGCCACAAAGUAAAUGUCUUUUCAUUUUUUUUCAUUCGAAGAAUAACCUUCUUUAUAUCUGAUAUAUAUGGGCUUCUUUUUCACCAUUCAAGGCACAUACCCAGGCCCACACAAAGCUAAUCCUAAAAUCAAAUGGAUCAUCUUUUCAUAUUUUAUUAUUUACAGAUAUCUAAGAAAGAAGCGCCAUACAUUUAUAACUUGUACUGUUUUGGACGUUUUUGUUGUCAGCAUCUCCGAAUAUGAUCAGGCAAUGAAAAUGCUCAGCUUGAUUUACUUCUUUACCUUUUCGUCAGUUAUCAUUACCACCAAGAUGUACCCGAUGUGUUUAAUUCACACUGGGAAGGAUUUGUUUAUGCAUCACCUGAGGUUUUCAUUUUAUUAUUGUCCUGCAGAGGAAGUAUGCUGAGUGAACUGAUUAAAAAGAUGUGAACUGUUGUCUACACCGUAAAGACAAUGCCGCAUCUGCACACGCUUCCCUGCCCUCUUACGUUUUCCUUUUAUAUCUUAGUUUCAGCCCUAAAUCACUGAAUGAAUGGAGACACAAAAAAUAUCCUAAGAACAGAAUUGAGAAAAGAAAAGGUUUCAGCAGAUGAUUACUCCCUCAGACAGGAACACGUGAGGCAGAGAGCAGCCCGAGACUUCCAUUUGAAUGGGAUCUGAGAGGUAAUUUGAGCUAAAAUGGAGUCCACUUCUGAGCCCCUCACUCAGCCACCCCCCCCACCCCCCCAUGGCAUCCACUGUAAUUCAUUAUUCCUGGCCGGCACUGGGAGAGGCAAUGAGCGAGGGCAGAGGACAGAGGACAGGAGCGGACCCGGCUCACGGUGUAAUGAAGACUCAGUCGACCUAAACCAACUCCACACACACACACACACACACACACACUCACACACACACCACACACAAUGUUUGAUUAUAUAUCACAGGGAGCAGGACAUUAAUGGCACUCAAGACCUUUUGGCAGAGAAAUAAGUGUGAGCAAUGAUUUUUCUCUAAAUCCAUUUCGGUGACCUUUUCUAUCAUGCAUGUGACUCUCUGCCUGCACUGCAGUGUGAGAUAAAUAUUCCAAGAACAAGCUUCCUUCCACUUUUUAAUAAACCCUCUCUUUGAAUCUGAA